rnacentral:tRNA from 1 species
GAGGGUAUAGCUCAGUGGUAGAGUGCAUGCUUAGCAUGCAGGAGGUCUUGGGUUCAAUCCCCAGUAACUCCA